GCGCGGGUUCAGGGUAGAGUGAGAGAAGCGAGACGCGGGUCAGAGUAAACAUCGCCACUGGGGAGACAAAGGCGGCCGGGCCUGGUGCUGACCACCCACCGGCCUUCACAGGAAUUCAAUUCGCGUGCAACCGUGAGCGCACGCGAUUCGACCGGCCCGAUGAGCCCCAACACGGAUGAAACCCGUCCACAGUUCGUCGCUCCGCGUGCCUCACC